ensembl:lncRNA
UUUUUUUUUUUUUUUUUUUUUUUUUUGGUAGGAUGGAAAACGUUAUACGGUUUUAUGAAAAAUGACAAAAACGACGGGUGAAGGAUGCGGGUGCCAAGCCCCAUCGCGACACCUCAGUCUGGGCUGUGGAAGGCGAGGAGCUCUUACAGGGACCCAAGAUGUCACGGCCAAGUGCGUCUGGGAUGCCCUGGGCCUCUCGAAGUAAAAUAAAGACCAGCUUUAUCUGUAGCAGGCCUUGUUAGAGUCCGUACCUUGAAAUAGAGGCUCUAACUGGGGAAGGGGUCCCACACUUGGCCCCAGAAGCCCUUCAUCAUGCAGCUUCUGAUCUGGACACAUAGCCAGGCUGGCAUUUGGGAAGCGUGCGGGCGCUCGCGAGGGGCCAGAGGAAGCGAGGAUGCUUAGGAUCUGCUCCCUGGACCAGCGAGGUCUCGGGAAUCCUCACGACAGCUACACGGAGGCCCUACCGCGCACCAGACACCAGGCCAGGGGCGCAAGGACGAGGAUGAAGGCAACCUGUCCCCCAGGCCCUCUCGGGCUAGGUGGACCGUGGAAGGUUCUGGACUUCGAGGAGACCUGCCCGGAGAAGCUCUCACCUCAAGAAGCAGAGGAGAGGGCUAAUGCCAGGUCCGGGCAGCAUGGGAUGCUGAGCCCAAAAGUUCCAACGUUAUCAUUUUUUUGGCCUCGCCUGCAGCGGGUAGAAGUUCCCAGGCCAGGAACCAAACCUAUGCCACAGCAGUGACCGGAGCCGCUGCAGUGACAAUGCCAGAUCCUUAACCCGCUGAGCCACGAGAAACUCCAAAAAGUUCCAACUUUAGCCACGGAGAAACCAGAGUAGUUUGUCUUCGAAAGGGAAGGACAUGAUGAAACUAGUUUUAGGAAAAUCAACCUGGCCAGAAAGAUAAAUAGGCAUGGGGAAGGCUCCAGAAGGCAGAGACCAACUAGGAGCUGAUGUAAUCCACCACCCAGAAUCUAGCCUUCUGUGGGUUAGGGAAGGGGUCUCAGAGCCAGGGGUCUGGGUACAGGAGAAGGGCCCACAUCUGGAGAGCGGAAGAAAAACAGGCAUCGAAGGUGCCCACUGCGCCCAGCCUGAGUAAGGAGGCAUCCAAGGAGGCCAAGACAGCGCCCGCCCACCAAGACGCCCCCAUUCGGUCUCUGCCAGGGAAGCAGGUGCACUCUGGGGAGAGUUCAGAGAGCUGGCCUUUCCCCCACAAAAGCAAGCUCAAGGACACACCUUGCUGUGAAGCCACCUUGCAGUGACAACAUCCUUGUGGCUCCCAUCAGAGAAUGCCUGCUCCUUUCAGGGCAGAGCCCAAGGUGGCAGCUGCUCGCAAGCGGCGAGUCUGGAAGGCAAACACCCCCCCACCCCACCCCACCCAGGCUCAGGUGUCCUGGCCCAGGCCAUGCACUUGGGCAGCUUUUAACGCCCACUGAGCAAUUUCUUGAGAGUUCUGCUUGGCAGGUACCGCCUCCCCACCUGGGUUAAUAGAGGGGUGCAGUCCAGGAAAGAAAUUAAAUUUGCCCACAUUUUGUUCUGGAAGGAACGAGGGGAGGGGAGCCAAUCAUUUAUGCAGUAAUUACGUUUGCCUUCAGGCCAGCACUGGAAGUUGCUGCACUAGCGCUGGCUUUGCAGACGCUGGCAGGAGCAAGAAAGCAGAAGUGUCCCAGGCAAUCCAGCAGCCACGUCACCUCCGAAGCACUUCACAUGCAAAUGGGAACCCAAAGUGCAAAGACCAGCUCCAUCCCGGCGGCAGAUGAAUUUAUUUCCAUAGCCAGAGACCAGCCUGCCCCUUGGACAGCACCUCUCAAGUCCAGCACUCUGACACCUGUUGAAGGUCACCAUUUACCGUCCCCGAUCAAGAGAUCAAAGGAUCGGACCUCACAGGCUAACUCUGAAGUUUUGCCCCAAAGAGUUAAUGCACAAGAAGAAUCAACACAGUUUUUGAAAAGAACAAUGAAGAGGUAAUUGCACAACUGACCUCAAAAUAGACUGUGAUGCUACAGAGGCUGAAACAACACCGGCUGGUACAGAAAGACACCUAAAGGUCAACAAAGCAGAACAGAAGAUUCCAGUACAAAAAGCCGAGCACAUGGGGACACUGCCCGGCAAAGAGUGACAUUUUAAAAGAAUGAGGGUGUGAUGGGCCAUGCCAUCAAGGUGUUGGGACAACUCCCUCUCCACCUACCGGGGGGACCAUUCAGAUCCCUCCCUCAUCCCGUAUCCUCCCCCCAACUCAAAAAAAAACCAGACAAAAUCAUGCCUGAAUAUAAAACAACAAAAUAACAACAGCCCAGGAAGAAAAUAAAGAUGCAUUUAUAAUCCAGGGGUAGAGAAGGCAUGGAACUCAGAACCCCUACGGGAAAAGACUGAGUUUUCUUACCUGAAACUGUCUAAAGUCUUUAUGAUAAGAAACCACCAAAAAACAAGGGUGAAAGGAUAGCUCCAGACCAGAAGGAAAAUCCGGAACGAAUAUAAGAAUUAAUGUCCACACCAAAGAAAGCGUUCCCACAAAGCAAUAAGAAAAAGAUAAGCAACUCCAUGGGAAAACAGGCCAAGCAUGGGCGAUUUACAGAAAAUUGCCAAUAAGCUAGGAAUGAGAGAGGUGCAAACCAAUAUGUGUUAACUUUUUCUUUUUUGUCUCUUUAGGGCUGCACCCCUGGCAUAUGGACGUUCCCAGGCUAGGGGUCGAAUCAGAGCUACAGUUGCCGGCCGACACCACAGCCACAGCCACGCAGGAUCUGAGCCUCGUCUGCAACCUACACCACGGCUCAGGUCAACGCCAGAUCCUUAACCCACUGCGUGAGAUCAGGGAUCAAACCCACAUCCUCACGGAUAUGAGUCAGGUUCGUUACUGCUGAGCCACAAUGGGAACUGCGAAAUGUGUUACGCUUUUUAAACAAAUUUAUUUUUAAAAAAACAGAAGUGUGAUAUGCAGUGCUGGAGAGGGGAGAGCAGGUACCCUCCUAGAGGCCUGGUAGGGUGUAAGUUGGUGCGGACUUUUUGGAAGAAUUAGUUAUCAUCUUUGACAUUUUAUAAACAGACACACUCUCUGACAAGGAGGGCAUCCUACAGAAAUAAUUGAAUACAUGGGCACACAUACCGGGCAAUGCUGUUCAGUGUCAUGCAUUUAUUGUAACAGCAAUAAAGCCUGGAAAAACUUAAAUGCUACCAAGCCGGGUAAAAGCCAUGAAAUACGGUGGACCCAUACUAUGAAAUACUACUUAGGUUUUUUUUUUUUAAUGGAGUUUCCGUCAUCGUAGCGCAGCAGAAAUGAAUCUGACUAGAAACCAUAAGGUUUCGGGUUCGAUCCCUGGCCUCGCUCUGUGGGUCAAGGAUCCGGCGUUGCCGUGAGCUGUGGUGUAGGUCGCAGACACGGCUCGGAUCUGGCAUUGCUGUGGCUGUGGUGUAGGCCGGCAGCUGUAGCUCCGAUUCAACCCCUAGCCUGGGAACCUCCAUAUGCAAAAAAAAAAAGCAAAAAAUAAAUAACACAUUAAACUAUGUGUUGAAGGCGUGGUCAUCUCUGAGGAGAAAAACAAAACAGGCCAUAAAGGACACUGGUCUUUCCCAGAAAGAGGCACCAUGCGGUGAAAGUCGUUUCUAUGUAUUCGUGUAUGUUUUACAUUUAAAAAAUAGACUGUACCCCUUACACCCACUAGGACAGUGAGAACCCCAAAGAGGAAAAGUCACUCGUGUCAGCCAGGACGCAGAGGAACCGAGAGCCCCGUGUGCCGCGGAUGGGAAGGUAAACGGGUACAGCCGCUGGGGAAGCCAGUUUCACGAUGCCUCAGAAAUUGAGUACAGAAGGGCCACACUCUGAUCCAGCGACUCCACUCCGCCUGUGUCCACACACGCGGAAGCAGAGAUUCCAACAGACACUUACACGCCCUUGUCCACAGUGGCCUCAUUCCCAACAGCCGGGGGCUGAAAGAACCCAAGUGCCCACUGCAGGUGGGUGGGUACACAGAGCAUGCACCCCUGUCCACACCACGGGAGGCCAUUCAGUCAGAAAAAGGAUGCAUGAACCUCGAAACAUUCCACUACACGCAACGAGCCAGACACAAAAGGACGAACACCAUGGGAUGCCACCAACCGGAGGCACCUCGAAAGGGCAAAGUCCCAGACCCGGCAGAGGAGCAACGAGGCUCCCCGGGGUGGGGACCGGGAAUGGGGAGUGGCUGCCUAACGGGUAAAAGCAGUUUCUGCUUGGGGUACUAAACACCUCUUUGGAAAUGGUGGUGACAGCUGUACAACCCUGUGACUGUAAUUAAUGCCACCAACUCAUAUACUUAAGCGUGGGGGAAAGGGGGAGUUCCCUGGUGGCACAGAGGGUUAAGGAUCUGGCAUCGUCACUGUAGUGGCUGAGGUCGCUGCUGUGACGUGGGUUCCCUCCCUGGCCCAGGAACAUCCACGUGCCGCCGCUGCAGCCAAAUGAAAGGGUUUCUUUCUUUCUUUCUUUUUAAGAGGAGGGCAAAGCAGGCUGGAUGGCAGAGCCGGGGGCUGUCACAGCCUCAGGAGGCCCCACUCCACCCCUCAAACGCAGGGUCCCAGAGGGUUGGGGAUGGAGCCAGGCGGACCUCUGGGGAAGCCCCUCAGCCCAGCAGAGGAGGAGCAGGGGGCAGGGCCUGGCAGAGAGGCGGCCCCUCCUUGCUGCAGCUCAGCCACUAGAAAAGCUGCAUCGAGGCAAACUGAAAGCACUGCCAAAACCCACACAGAAUCAAACGGCGACCGAGAAAGCAAACAAGAAAAUACCCAGAAAGCACAGUCGCCUCCAGCCUCCAAAGGGCUCGGCGGUGACGUCACCAGGACAACUUCCUCUGGGGUCCUGGGCAAGAGACCCCCAGCGAGAGGGACAGAGGACAGUGGACUGUGAUUCCGGACGCAGACGUGAUCAGAACCUGAGGUCCCUGAGCCACACGGCCGCCACCACAGCUGGAGCCUGAGCAACACGCAGCCCGCAGCCAGGCCAGCCGCGGGUCCCUGCCCCUGACCUGGCGACGGACAAGAGCGGGCUCAGGAGCGCUGCCCAGGGCUGGAGAACAGGUAACGGACGCAGUCAAGGGCACACGGC